CCUACGGGAGGCAGCAGUGAGGAAUAUUGGUCAAUGGACGAGAGUCUGAACCAGCCAAGUAGCGUGAAGGAUGACUGCCCUCUGGGUUGUAAACUUCUUUUAUAUGGGAAUAAAAUGAGGCACGUGUGCCAUUUUGCAUGUACUUUAUGAUUAAGGCUCGGCUAACUCCGUGACAGCAGCAGCGGUAAUACGGAGGAGCCGAGCGUUAUCCGGAUUUACUGGGGUUAAAGGGAGCGUAGUUGGAUUGUUACGUCAGUUGUGAAAGUUUGCGGCUAAACCGUAAAAUUGCAGUUGAAACUGGCAGGCGUGAGUACAGGAGAGGUAGGCGGAAUUCGUGGUGUAGCGGUGAAAUGCUUAGAUAGCACGAAGAACCCCGAUGGCGAAGGCAGCUUACUGGACUGUAACUGACAUUGAGGCUCGAAAGUGUGGGGAUCAAACAGGAUUAGAUACCCGGGUAGUC
rnacentral:rRNA from 1 species